AUUGAACGCUGGCGGCAUGCCUUACACAUGCAAGUCGAACGGCAGCACGGGAGCAAUCCUGGUGGCGAGUGGCGAACGGGUGAGUAAUAUAUCGGAACGUGCCCAGUCGUGGGGGAUAACGCAGCGAAAGCUGGGCUAAUACCGCAUACGAUCUAAGGAUGAAAGCGGGGGAUCGCAAGACCACGCGCGAUUGGAGCGGCCGAUAUCAGAUUGGCUAGUUGGUGGGGUAAAGGCCCACCAAGGCGACGAUCUGUAGCUGGUCUGAGAGGACGACCAGCCACACUGGAACUGAGACACGGUCCAGACUCCUACGGGAGGCAGCAGUGGGGAAUUUUGGACAAUGGGCGCAAGCCUGAUCCAGCAAUGCCGCGUGCAGGAUGAAGGCCUUCGGGUUGUAAACUGCUUUUGUACGGAACGAAACGGCCCUUUCUAAUACAGGGGGCUAAUGACGGUACCGUAAGAAUAAGCACCGGCUAACUACGUGCCAGCCGCCGCCGUAACAC
rnacentral:rRNA from 1 species